UUAUUGAUUAUACACUAUGACGUUCAGGACACUGAUGUUUGUAAGGGCCAAGGGCCACGGUUCACAGAGGUUGAUUGGAUAAGCCCGGAGGCGUUCACUAAUGAUCCUUCCGCAGGUUCACCUACGGAAA
rnacentral:misc_RNA from 1 species